AUACGGAGGAUCCGAGCGUUAUCCGGAUUUAUUGGGUUUAAAGGGUGCGCAGGCGGCCAUUUAAGUCAGCGGUGAACUCGUGGGGCUCAACCCCAUUCUGCCGUUGAUACUGGGUGGCUUGAUUGCGGUCGAGGUUGGCGGUAUUCGCUGUGUAGCGGUGAAAUGCAUAGAUAUGACGAAGAACACCGAUUGCGUAGGCAGCUGACCAGACCGCAAAUGACGCUCAUGCACGAAAGUGCGGGGAUCGAACAGGAUUAGAUACCCUGGUAGUUCGCACAGGAAACGAUGAAUACUUGUUUUCGGCGAUAUAAUGUCGGAGGCAAAGCGAAAGCGAUAAGUAUUCCACCUGGGGAGUACGCCGGCAACGGUGAAACUCAAAUGAAUUGACGG
rnacentral:rRNA from 1 species